AUCAACAUCAUAAUAUCGCACAUGCAGACCUAUAUUCGGCGGGGGAGGCCACUUGUGGCCGCAGUUCCCCCGAUCUUAUGUGCUGCCAGCGUAGAGAAACAAGGAUCGUUGCUGGGCGCCUGACGUUGAUCUAGUGUGAUACGUUGGGAAUCAGCUGUAUCCACAGCC
rnacentral:snoRNA from 1 species